rnacentral:rRNA from 1 species
AUUGAACGCUGGCGGCAUGCUUUACACAUGCAAGUCGAACGGCAGCGCGGGCUUCGGCCUGGCGGCGAGUGGCGAACGGGUGAGUAAUGCAUCGGAACGUGCCCAGUAGUGGGGGAUAGCCCGGCGAAAGCCGGAUUAAUACCGCAUACGACCUGAGGGUGAAAGCGGGGGACCGAAAGGCCUCGCGCUAUUGGAGCGGCCGAUGUCGGAUUAGCUAGUUGGUGGGGUAAAGGCUUACCAAGGCGACGAUCCGUAGCUGGUCUGAGAGGACGACCAGCCACACGGGGACGGAGACAGGGCCCAGACCCCGACGGGAGGCAGCAGUGGGGAAUUUUGGACAAGGGGGGCAACCCUGACCCAGCCAUGCCGCGGGGGGGAAGAGGGCCUUGGGUUGGUAAACCGUUUUUGUGGGGAAAGAAAUCCUGGGGGCUAAUACCCCGGGGGGAGGAGGGUACGGAAAGAAUAAGCACCGGCAAACUACGUG